rnacentral:rRNA from 1 species
AACGAACGCUGGCGGCAGGCCUAACACAUGCAAGUCGAACGAUCCUUCGGGAUAGUGGCGGACGGGUGCGUAACACGUGGGAACGUGCCCUUUGGUUCGGAACAACUCAGGGAAACUUGAGCUAAUACCGAAUGUGCCCUUCGGGGGAAAGAUUUAUCGCCAUUGGAGCGGCCCGCGUCUGAUUGGCUAGUUGGUGAGGUAAUGGCUCACCAAGGCGACGAUCAGUAGCUGGUCUGAGAGGAUGAUCAGCCGAACUGGGACUGAGACACGGCCCAGACUCGUACGGGAGGCAGCAGUGGGGAAUAUUGGACAAUGGGCGCAAGCCUGAUCCAGCCAUGCCGCGUGAGUGAUGAAGGCCCUAGGGUUGUAAAGCUCUUUCAGCGGGGAAGAUAAUGACGGUACCCGCAGAAGAAGCCCCGGCUAACUUCGUGCCAGCAGCCGCCGUAAAAC